AGCAGUCGCCGCGGUAAUACGUAGGGGGCAAGCGUUAUCCGGAAUUACUGGGUGUAAAGGGAGCGUAGACGGUUAAACAAGUCUGAAGUGAAAUGCCGGGGCUCAACCCCGGAGCUGCUUUGGGAACUGUAGAACUGGAGUGUCGGAGGGGUAAGCGGAAUUCCCAGUGUAGCGGUGAAAUGCGUAGAUAUUGGGAGGAACACCGGCGGCGAAGGCGGCUUACUGGACGACAACUGACGUUGAGGCUCGAAGGCGUGGGUAGCAAACAGGAUUAGAUACCCGAGUAGUCCCUGUCUCUUAUAC
rnacentral:rRNA from 1 species